rnacentral:lncRNA from 10 species
UUCUACCUAAGUAUAUACAAUGAAAAAGUAUAGGAAUUUAGAUGACAUUGAGUUUUAAAUUUUAAAUUGAGUUUUGAAGUACAUAUAGAAAUUUAUUCAGCAAAGGGAUGAGAGAGGGACAAUGGCAGUACAAGGGCACAGUUUACCAGGAACUACUUAGCCUGGCUGGAAUGUAUAAUGUGAAGUGGAGAAAGCUUUGGGGUAUUGAGGCUGAGGGCUGCGGAUCGCUUGAACCCUGGAGGCAGAGGUUGCAUGAGCCGGGAUUGCGCCACUGCAUUCCAGCCUGGCAACAGAGUAAGACUCUGUCUCAAAAAAAAAAAAAAAAAAAAAAAAAAAGGAUACUUAAUGAAUUCAAAUCCCAUAAUUGAAGACUUUCUGUGAUGAUUUUUUUUUAAGAAAUCUACUCUUCAGACAGGCCUAUUCUAUCUAUAAGUUGCUGCUCUUCUUCGCAGCUUCUCCUUUGCCUCUGUUCCUGAAACCACACACAGGAUUUCUUCUGUAGAUUCUCAUUGGUUGCAAGGGCUUUGGUGCUAAGGGAGCCAUAUGUGUA